rnacentral:rRNA from 1 species
GACGAACGCUGGCGGCGUGCUUAACACAUGCAAGUCGAACGAAGUGGCGAACGGGUGAGUAAUACGUGGGUAACCUGCCCUCCUUUUUGGGAUAAGCCUUGGAAACGGGGUCUACUACCGAAUAAAGGGGGAUGGGCCAGUGGCCUAUCGGCUUGUUGGUGGGGUGAUGGCCUACCAAGGCGGUGACGGGUAGCCGGCCUGAGCGGGUGACCUGCCACAGUGGGACGGCCAGAAGGCCUAGACUCCGACGGGGGGGAGAAGUGGGGGAUAUGGCCCAAUGGGCGAAGGCCCGAUGCAGCGAGGACGAGUGGGGGAUGAAGGUUUUAGGGUUCUAAACGUCUUUCGCUAUCGAACGGGUAGGUGCAGAAGAAGCGCCGGCUAACUCCGUGCCAGCAGCCGCGGUAAUAC